GACGAACGCUGGCGGCGUGCUUAACACAUGCAAGUAGAACGCAUUUGCGAACGGGUGAGUAACGCGUAGGUACCUGCCCCCUUGCGGGGGAUAACUAUUGGAAACGAUAGCUAAUACCGCAUACUGUGAGAUGUACCUGCAGUUGAUUAGCUAGUUGGUUGGGUAAAGGCCCACCAAGUCGACGAUACAUAGCCGACCUGAGAGGGUGAUCGGCCACACUGGGACUGAGACACGGCCCAGACUCCUACGGGAGGCAGCAGUAGGGAAUCUUCCGCAAUGGACGAAAGUCUGACAGAGCAACGCCGCGUGAGUGAAGACGGUUUUCGGGUCGUAAAGCUCUGUUGUUAGAGAAGCGGUACCUAACCAGAAAGGGACGGCUAACUACGUGCCAGCAGCCGCGGUAAUUC
rnacentral:rRNA from 1 species